GCCAGUGUGGUGUAGUGAUUUGGGUGUUGGACUAGGACUCUAGAGAUGGGGGUUGAAAUCCACCCACAGCCA